rnacentral:rRNA from 1 species
GACGAACGCUGGCGGCGUGCUUAACACAUGCAAGUCGAACGGUAAGGCCCUUCGGGGUACACGAGUGGCGAACGGGUGAGUAACACGUGGGUGAUCUGCCCUGCACUUCGGGAUAAGCCUGGGAAACUGGGUCUAAUACCGGAUAGGACCACUGCCUGCAUGGGUGGUGGUGGAAAGCUUUUGCGGUGUGGGAUGGGCCCGCGGCCUAUCAGCUUGUUGGUGGGGUGAUGGCCUACCAAGGCGACGACGGGUAGCCGGCCUGAGAGGGUGACCGGCCACACUGGGGCUGGGAUACGGCCCAGACUCCUACGGGAGGGAGCAGGGGGGAAUAUUGCACAAUGGGCGCAAGGCUGAUGCAGCGACGCCGCGUGAGGGAUGACGGCCUUCGGGUUGUAAACCUCUUUCAGCACCGACGAAGCGCAAGUGACGGUAGGUGCAGAAGAAGGACCGGCCAACUACGUGCCAGCCGCCGCGGUAA